ACUCAAAUGAAUUGACGGGGGCCCGCACAAGCGGCGGAGCAUGCGGAUUAAUUCGAUGCAACGCGAAGAACCUUACCAAGGCUUGACAUACACCGGAAACGGCCAGAGAUGGUCGCCCCCUUGUGGUCGGUGUACAGGUGGUGCAUGGUUGUCGUCAGCUCGUGUCGUGAGAUGUUGGGUUAAGUCCCGCAACGAGCGCAACCCUCGUUCUAUGUUGCCAGCGGGUUAUGCCGGGGACUCAUAGGAGACUGCCGGGGUCAACUCGGAGGAAGGUGGGGAUGACGUCAAAUCAUCAUGCCCCUUAUGUCUUGGGCUUCACGCAUGCUACAAUGGCCGGUACAAAGGGCUGCGAUACCGUAAGGUGGAGCGAAUCCCAAAAAGCCGGUCUCAGUUCGGAUUGAGGUCUGCAACUCGACCUCAUGAAGUCGGAGUCGCUAGUAAUCGCAGAUCAGCAACGCUGCGGUGAAUACGUUCCCGGGCCUUGUACACACCGCCCGU
rnacentral:rRNA from 1 species